GAUGAACGCUGGCGGUAUGCUUAACACAUGCAAGUCGAACGGUCACUUCGGUGAUAGUGGCGGACGGGUGAGUAACGCGUGAGAACCUGUCUUCAGGUCGGGGACAACAGUUAGAAAUGACUGCUAAUACCGGAUAUGCCUUAUGGUGAAAGAUUUAUUGCCUGAAAAAGAGCUCGCGUCAGAUUAGCUAGUAGGCGGGGUAGAAGCCCACCAAGGCGACGAUCAGUAGGGGACCUGAGAGGGCGAUCCCCCCACACGGACACUGAGAUACGGGUCCGACUCCUACGGGAGGCAGCAGUAGGGAAUAUUGGGCAAUGGGCGCAAGCCUGACCCAGCCAUGCCGCGUGCCGGAAGAAGGCCCUCUGGGGUUGUAAACGGCUUUUGACGGGGAAGAAACGACCCUUGCGAGGGGCAUUGACGGUACCCGCAGAAUAAGCACCGGCUAACUCCGCGCCAGCAGCCGCGGUAAU
rnacentral:rRNA from 1 species